GGCCUUAAACCGGGUGUGUCAAAUGUGGGAGGGGCCUUAAAGAGGGAGUUUCACAGGUGGGAUGCCCCUAAAACAGGGUGUGUCGCCCCUAAAACAGGGUGUUUCAAACCUGGGAGACCCCUUAAAUAGGAAAUGUCAGAGCUGGGAGGAGACAUAGAAGAGGGAAUGGCAGAGUUUGGAACGACAUAGGAACAGAGAGUGUCACAGGAACCAGUGGACCUGCCAGGCACCUGGGCCACGUCACUUACAGCACAUCAUAGAAGAAGGGGCACUGCAAUUGGCAUUAAGAGGAUCUGAGUUUAAGUUCCACCUGUGACGCAAUAACAGCUUCUUCUUUGCCUCAGUUUCUCCACAUUUAAAAGGGUCAAUGGCCCUUAAGAUUUCUUCUACCUCUGAAGAAUUCAGCUGAGCUGUUUUUUUAACCCAAAAUAGAAGGGAUGGCCUCUGGCAACUAAUGAAAAAUGGACGCAAGGGCAGAAAUGGAAUUCCUCCAAGAGAUCCAGGAAGUGUGGGGGUCACUGGCUUGGGAGGAAGGAAGGGGUGGGAUGGGGGGAACAUGGGAGAAUGGGGCUCCUGCCUCUCCAUUGACUGUGAGAUUUAAUCAAGAAAACCUCAAGGAUUCUGUCCCCAGGCCUGAAGGGAAGACAGAAGCGUCAUAAAAAUAAUUCAUGUUUCUGGAGCCUUAAAGUACUCAUUGUAUUACACAAUGAGGUUUCACCCGCUAAGGUAAUAAUGAUUGUCAUCGUUAUUAUGAUUAAGAGUAAUAAUAAUAAUAAUAGCUAGUAUUUGUAUAACAGUUUGAUUUCCACUCAGAAGAAAAUCUCUCUUGGAGUGUCCCAGGACUCUGUUCUGUUUAACAUUUUUGUCAGUGACCUAGUCAAAGGCAUAUUCAUCAAAUUCAAAGAUAACACAAGGCUGGGAGAGAGAGACCUACCACAUUGGAUGACACGAGGAUCCAAAAGAAUCUUCCAAACCUAGAAGAGUAUUUGAAUCCAGUCUACUAAGGAAGAUGUAAAGUCUUAUACUCAGGUACCGAAAAAUCCAUUUCACGUUUACAAGAUGGAGGAGACAUGGCUAGACAGCCAUUUUGUAGGAGCAUUAUGGGAGUUUUAAUGGGCUGUGAACUUAAUAAAAGUCAACAGUAUUAUGUGACAGCCAAAAAAGCAGGUGCCAUCUUGGGCUGCAUUGAAGGGCAGAGCAUCAUCAUCAUCAUCAGAAUAAUAAUAACGAUAAUAAUAAUAAUAAAAAACAAGAGAAAGGACCAUCCAUCAGUGAGAGAAAACUUGCCUUUUGUUCCAUCCAACACUAUUUCCAUGCUCAUGUUGUCUUAAGACACAUCUGUGAAUAUACCUUUGAAUAAAUGCAAAGAAAUGUUUAAAAGGAAAGGAGGUAGCUGAAGCUAAAGAUAAUGCUUUUCUAAAUUCAAAGUCUCUAAGUCUAGUCAUGUCUAGUCAACUAAGCUUUUGAAAAUGUGCCAGGUAUAAGGAGGUGAUGAGAUCAUAGCUAAGUAGCAUGUUGGGUUCUGAGUCCUUUGGUUUAAGAAGAGCAUUGAUAAACUGGAGAACGUUCAGAGGAGGGCAUUCAAGGGGCCUGGAAUCCAGGGCAUUUGAGGCCCACUGGAAGCUCUUUUGUAUGCCUAGGCUGGAGAAAGGCAGACUCAAGAGGCCCCUUGAUAGCUGUCUUUAUGUGUUCGAAUGGUUGCCAAUGGGAAGCACGAUUUGACUUGUUCUGUUUGGUCCCAGUUGGAAGAACCAAGAUCAAGCAGUAGAAGUUGUAGCGUUCUGAAGUAGUCAAGAUAGAAGUUCAGCUGUUGGGGUCAGAGGCAGAUCAAAGCAGAUUUUCUUUCAUAUUAGUUUAUUUAGGGUUUUAUUUGGGGUUUUGGUUUCAUAUGAAUAUUCUCUUACAACAAGGACCAAUAUGGAAGCAUGUAUUGCAUGAUAACACAUGUAUAACCCGGGUCAAACUGUUUACCAGCUCCAAAAGCGGGGAGGGGAGGGAGAGAGGAAAUCCAAAUCCUAAAAUGUCAGAGAAGAGUUGUCACAAAUUGUUCCUCCAUGCAACUGAAAAAAUUCUAUCUGUCUGUCUGUAUUUAUUUGUGUAGCAGUCAGAUUGCCUUAGAAGAGAGCAUGUUUAGUCUUGAGCAUGCUCGGUAUUGCUCAUGGCUGGGAAGGCCUCUGACCCUUGACCCCAGCUUCUCCCAGGUUAGGCGGGAAAACAGGUUUCUUUGUUCUCACUUGGUUAAGAGAAACCACACCUAUGCCUUGUCAUUGACCAAUGAGGGUCAUCCCUAUGUACUACGUAGCAAAGGGUAUUUAUGGCCCAGCAAGCUCCGCCUCGCCCCCUCUCUCUCUCUCUUUCAGGCUAGCUGAUGGCUGUCCUUGCAGGAGCUUGGCCAGAGGCCAAGCUCCAUCUUUAAUCUUUCUCUAUUCAUCUCUCUGACCUGUGUGGUAUUAAAUAUGGAUCUUGGACUGGUAAAAGCCUUCGGAAUAGUCCUUUGAUCAGAGCUUGGCUGUGGCUCAUUGAUAAUUAAUAAAGACUCAUUCUGACCACCUCAUAUCUCUAAUAGGACUCCGUCAUCCCCCUCGUGGUAUCAAAAACUUCUAUCCUGUCUCUAUCUUCCUACCUUGUGGCUUCUCUCCCCUCUGAGAGACCACAAUCUGUCUCAUGGACCUCUGUUUCCAGGAGAAGCUGGGGGCCAUUAAAAGCAUAGCCCAGCUUCCAAAAGCAAUCGGUCCCAUUCUUCUCCCUGAGUUCAUCUCAUUGGCUUGUAUACAGUGUCCUUACGAGAUAAAUGGACCUCUGGAUAGAGAGAUGAUGAACAUAGAUUGUAAACUGAGGCAUACUUUAAAGCACAGUCAGUGCAGGAACCUAUCUGGUUUUACUAUACAUGCUUAUACCAGGGAUUUUGUUCUUGAUUUCUUAGUGGAAGAAAGAGAGAGAGAAUGCAGGUGUGAAAACAAAAUAAAAUUUAAUUAGAAAGAAAGAACCCAGAUAUGUAGACUGAUGGACCAACUCAAAGAGCUAUCCUUUUCAUUUCAUAACCAUUCAGACUGCCACAUAAGCACCGGUUGUUUCUUGUCUGUUAAAAUAAAAUCCAUUCUCUCCUUCUCUCACUAUCUCUCUGUCUCCCUCUCCCUCUCUCUGUCUCUUUCUCUCCCUCUCUCUCUCUGUCUCUCUGUCUCCCUCUCUCGGUCUCUCUCUCCUUCCCUCUCACUCCGUCUCUGUCUCUCUGUAUCUCUCUCUGUCUCUCUCUCCCUCUCUCUCUUUCUCUCUGUCUCUCUGUCUUGCUCUCUGUCUCUGUCUCUCUGUCUCUUUCUCCCUCUCUCUUUCUGUCUCUCUCUCUGUCGUCUCUCUCUCCCUCUCCCUCCCUCUCUGUCACUCUGCCUCUCCCUCUCCCUCUCUUUCUCUGUCUCUGUCUCUCUGUCUGUCUCUCUGUCUUUCCCUCCCCCUCUCUCCCACUCUUUCUCUGUCUUUCCCUCCCCCUCUCUCCCACUCUCUCUGUCUCUCCUUCUCUCUGUCUCUUUCCCUGUCUCUUUGUCUUUCUCCCUCACACACACCCUCUGUGUGUGUACAAUGGUAUUUGGUGGUUGACUUGGCCAAUGUUUCUUAACUUUCUUCCUGAAGAAAACCAUCGUGGUUAUUGGUGGUGACCUUAUGUUUGGUACCCUUGCGUCGUGUUUUCUGGGGUUUUGCCAUCCUCCUCUGUGCCCACCUUUGCACUGAAGUUGCCCUCACCACACCAAGGGUUAACGUAUAUGUUGACUUCAUGGGGAGGAUCUUAAGUUCUUCCAAGAAUUUCUCAACUCUUAAUCCUCUGGAACAGAUGUUGGUGAAUAAGCUGCAAUUAGCUUCAUGGUGGUCUUUUGGAAAUGCUGCUUAUGAGCAGUGUGUUCUGAGGUGACCAAAUGUCCCAUGAAGUGAUGGUUUCUGAUGCCUUUGGCCACACAAUAAAGCCGCCUCUUUUCUUUGUGCCUCCAGUGAGAACCUGUGAGUGAUUGUUCCAAUUAACUACAACUUCCUUCAUUCUUU